rnacentral:rRNA from 1 species
CCUACGGGAGGCAGCAGUGAGGAAUAUUGGUCAAUGGGCGCGAGCCUGAACCAGCCAAGUAGCGUGAAGGAUGACUGCCCUACGGGUUGUAAACUUCUUUUAUAAAGGAAUAAAGUGAGGCACGUGUGCCUGUUUGUAUGUACUUUAUGAAUAAGGAUCGGCUGACUUCGUGCCAGCAGCCGCGGGUAUUCGGGGGAUCCGAGCGUUUUCCGGAUUUAUUGGGUUUAAAGGGAGCGUAGAUGGGUAGUUAAGUCAGUUGUGAAAGUUUGGGGCUCAACCGUCACAUUGCAGUUGAAACUGGCAGUCUUGAGUACAGUAGAGGUGGGCGGAAUUCGUGGUGUAGCGGUGAAAUGCUUAGAUAUCACGAAGAACUCCGAUUGCGAAGGCAGCUCACUGGACUGCAACUGACACUGAGGCUCGAAAGUGUGGGUAUCAAACAGGAUUAGAUACCCGAGUAGUC